rnacentral:misc_RNA from 1 species
GAGUACCUUUUCGUUUCCUCGGUGGGCUCGCCCGCCGGUGGACAACCAAAACUCUUUGUAAUAGCAGUAUCUUCUGAAAAAAACAAAUAGUCAAAACUUUCAACAACGGAUCUCUUGGUUCUGGCAUCGAUGAAGAACGCAGCGAAAUGCGAUAAGUAGUGUGAAUUGCAGAAUUCAGUGAAUCAUCGAAUCUUUGAACGCACAUUGCGCCCUUCGGUAUUCCGUUGGGCAUGCCUGUUCGAGCGUCUAUUAGAAACUUCAAGCUCAGCUUGGUGUUGGGUGCUUGUCCGCCGCCCGCGGCGGACUCACCUCAAAUGCAUUGGCGGCCGGUAUGUUGGCUACAGCGCAGUACAACGCGUCUGGCGUCUUGAUACACUGGUCCUCCAG